rnacentral:lncRNA from 1 species
UGUUGGAGACAAGAAUGGAACCAUAAUGAGAACACUGGAAAACAAUUCAUCAAGCAGUUGUAACCAUACAGCAUACUGUACUCAAGGUUGAAAUGUGGCAAAUGCCCUUCCACAGUAGGAGCUAGUGAUGAACUUCGUGAUGAGACCAUCAUUCCUAUCUCCCGCAGUCCCAUAUCUCCUGAAAGAGGAAUCACUGGACUGCUGAGUGAAGAAAAAGUGAGGAUGACUCCAGACAUAAUAAAAGAU